UGUGGUAAAGUCUCUCUUCUUCCUGAUAUUUGAAAAUGUCUCCAUCCAGAUGAAGUGAUCACUUCAAAUAUUUGGUUCCAUUUUGCUGUUAAACAGCUUCAACCCCAGUCAAUACAUCCAUUUCCAGUUGUAAUGGAAGUGAUGGGGAAGCAGGGCGCCCUCUGGAGGCAAGGUGCCCUGAGGCAUGAUACAUGGGUGAGACCAAGC